UACGUAGGUGGCAAGCGUUAUCCGGAUUUACUGGGUGUAAAGGGCGUGUAGGCGGGGACGCAAGUCAGAUGUGAAAACCACGGGCUCAACCUGUGGCCUGCAUUUGAAACUGUGUUUCUUGAGUACUGGAGAGGCAGACGCAAUUCCUAGUGUAGCGGUGAAAUGCGUAGAUAUUAGGAGGAACACCAGUGGCGAAGGCGGUCUGCUGGACAGCAACUGACGCUGAGGCGCGAAAGCGUGGGGAGCAAACAGG
rnacentral:rRNA from 1 species